rnacentral:rRNA from 1 species
GACGAACGCUGGCGGCGUGCUUAACACAUGCAAGUCGAACGGAAAGACCCUGCUUUUGUGGGGUGCUCGAGUGGCGAACGGGUGAGUAACACGUGAGUAACCUGCCCUUGACUUUGGGAUAACUUCAGGAAACUGGGGCUAAUACCGGAUAAGAGCUCCUGCUGCAUGGUGGGGGUUGGAAAGUUUCGGCGGUUGGGGAUGGACUCGCGGCUUAUCAGCUUGUUGGUGGGGUAGUGGCUUACCAAGGCUUUGACGGGUAGCCGGCCUGAGAGGGUGACCGGCCACAUUGGGACUGAGAUACGGCCCAGACUCCUACGGGAGGCAGCAGUGGGGAAUAUUGCACAAUGGGCGGAAGCCUGAUGCAGCAACGCCGCGUGCGGGAUGACGGCCUUCGGGUUGUAAACCGCUUUCGCCUGUGACGAAGCGUGAGUGACGGUAAUGGGUAAAGAAGCACCGGCUAACUACGUG